rnacentral:rRNA from 1 species
UACGAAGGGUGCAAGCGUUAAUCGGAAUUACUGGGCGUAGAGCGUGCGUAGGUGGUUUUUUAAGUCUGCUGUGAAAGCCCUGGGCUCAACCUGGGAAUGGCGGUGGAUACUGAAAAGCUAGAGUGCGGUAGAGGAGGGUGGAAUUCCCGGUGUAGCGGUGAAAUGCGUAGAGAUCGGGAGGAACAUCAGUGGCGAAGGCGGCCCUCUGGACCAGCACUGACGCUGAGGCACGAAAGCGUGGGGAGCAAACAGG